UUCGGGGGACAGGGUGACAGGUGGUGCAUGGUUGUCGUCAGCUCGUGUCGUGAGAUGUUGGGUUAAGUCCCGCAACGAGCGCAACCCUCGACCUUAGUUGCCAGCAUUCAGUUUGGGCACUCUAAGGUGACUGCCGGCUAAAGUCGGAGGAAGGUGGGGGAUGACGUCAAAUCAUCAUGCCCCUUAUGACCUGGGCUACACACGUGCUACAAUGGGCGGUACAAAGGGUCGCGAACCCGCGAGGGGGAGCCAAUCCCAAAAAGCCGCUCUCAGUUCGGAUUGCAGGCUGCAACUCGCCUGCAUGAAGCCGGAAUCGCUAGUAAUCGCGGAUCAGCAUGCCGCGGUGAAUACCGGUUCCCGGGCCUU
rnacentral:rRNA from 1 species